UAAGUAUGGCUGCGGGCGGGCGGGGGGGGGACGCCGUUUCCCUUCUACACGCGGGGCCGUCGCGGUGAUGAUCGCUCAGACUAGAGUCUCCGACCCCUCUGAGGACACCGCAGCGCCUGAGCGACGGCCCCGCUCCGCCGUCCGCCCCGCUCCGCCCUCACCGCUGUCUGUUCUUCGCAGGUUUCCGUCGCAUCGGGUGGCCGCCGUAGCGGAUCGGCGGAACGCACGGGAAAGGCGAUUUUGGGGGGCUGCGCCGAGGUAAAGCUGCGGUUUGUGGGUAAUAAAAGAGGUUUUGAGGCUGUU